rnacentral:rRNA from 1 species
GAUGAACGCUGGCGGCGUGCCUAAUACAUGCAAGUCGAACGAAACUUCUUUAUCACCGAGUGCUUGCACUCACCGAUAAAGAGUUGAGUGGCGAACGGGUGAGUAACACGUGGGCAACCUGCCCAAAAGAGGGGGAUAACACUUGGAAACAGGUGCUAAUACCGCAUAACCAUAGUUACCGCAUGGUAACUAUGUAAAAGGUGGCUAUACUACCGCUUUUGGAUGGGCCCGCGGCGCAUUAGCUAGUUGGUAGGGUAAAGGCUUACCAAGGCAAUGAUGCGUAGCCGAAUUGAGAGGUUGAUCGGCCACAUUGGAACUGAGACACGGCCCAAACUCCUACGGGAGGCAGCAGUAGGGAAUCUUCCACAAUGGGCGAAAGCCUGAUGGAGCAACGCCGCGUGGGUGAAGAAGGUCUUCGGAUCGUAAAGCCCUGUUGUUAGAGAAGAAAGUGCGUGAGAGUAACUGUUCACGUUUCGACGGUAUCUAACCAGAAAGCCACGGCUAACUACGUG